rnacentral:rRNA from 1 species
GCUACUACCGAUUGAGUGAUCCGGUGAAUAAUUCGGACUGCAGCAGUGUUCAGUUCUUGAACAUUGCAGUGGAAAGUUUAAUGAACCUUAUCACUUAGAGGAAGGAGAAGUCGUAACAAGGUUUCUGU